rnacentral:lncRNA from 1 species
CUAAAUUGGUGUGCUAAAGCCCAUGAUUUUGGAGGUAGACCCGCGGUCUAGGCGUGAUAUGGGCCAAAAAUUGACCGGGGCAUGCAAGGGAGGUUGGGGAUUAUCCCAAUAUGGUCCGUUUAAUUUUUUGUGGCCAUCUGGAUGGACAAACGAGCGAAACGAUUUGAACGGGGCAUUUUCGGGCCAAAUCGGUGUGCUAUAGCUCUUGAUUUCAAGGGUGGCCUAGGUUCCGAGCA